rnacentral:rRNA from 1 species
CACUCCUGCGGGAGGCAGCAGUGGGGAAUAUUGGACAAUGGGCGCAAGCCUGAUCCAGCCAUGCCGCGUGAGUGAUGAAGGCCCUAGGGUUGUAAAGCUCUUUCACCGGUGAAGAUAAUGACGGUAACCGGAGAAGAAGCCCCGGCUAACUUCGUGCCAGCAGCCGCGGUAAUACGAAGGGGGCUAGCGUUGUUCGGAUUUACUGGGCGUAAAGCGCACGUAGGCGGACUAUUAAGUCAGGGGUGAAAUCCCGGGGCUCAACCCCGGAACUGCCUUUGAUACUGGUAGUCUUGAGUUCGAGAGAGGGGAGUGGAAUUCCGAGUGUAGAGGUGAAAUUCGUAGAUAUUCGGAGGAACACCAGUGGCGAAGGCGGCUCACUGGCUCGAUACUGACGCUGAGGUGCGAAAGCGUGGGGAGCAAACAGGAUUAGAUACCCUAGUAGUCCC